rnacentral:rRNA from 2 species
CCGUGAGGGAAAGGCGAAAAGAACCCCGGCGAGGGGAGUGAAAAAGAACCUGAAACCGUGUACGUACAAGCAGUGGGAGCCCCACCACUAAGCCAGUGGUGAACUCCACAUACGCAUCCUUUGCUGAGGAUACGGUUAACGGAGCGAAAGCGACGUUCAACCGCAAAAGAAGCAGAGGGGGCUUAGUGGUGGGGUGACUGCGUACCUUUUGUAUAAUGGGUCAGCGACUUAUAUUCUGUAGCAAGGUUAACCGUAUAGGGGAGCCGUAGGGAAACCGAGUCUUAACCGGGCGUUAAGUUGCAGGGUAUAGACCCGAAACC